AACGUAGGACGCGAGCGUUAUCCGGAGUUACUGGGCGUAAAGCGCGGGCAGGCGGUCUGACAAGUCUGAUGUGAAAUCUCCGGGCUUAACCGGGAGAGGCCAUUGGGAACUGACAGGCUGGAGGGCAGUAGAGGUAGGCGGAAUUCCGGGUGGAGUGGUGAAAUGCGUAGAGAUCCGGAGGAACACCUGCGGCGAAGGCGGGUUGCUGGGCUGACACUGACGCUGAAGCGCGAAAGCUAGGGGAGCAAACAGG
rnacentral:rRNA from 1 species